rnacentral:lncRNA from 1 species
CCCUCUGCACCUCCCUACCUCACUUGAAAAAUGGAAGUUAACAGUAGCUACUUCACUGAGGCUAUUUUGAUGACUUAAUGAUCUGUUCCAAAUCAAACGGACAACAAAGUCACUGCUCCUUGCAUACUAUGCAGAGCCAGAUACAUUCCUAAUCUUCCAAAGAUUAGGAAGCUUUAAGGGAAACAUCUUAAUUUGGCAAGGUCUAAGCAACCCUGCCUUCUUUCAAGCACACGUAAAGCCACCUCCCAGCCUAAGGCUGGGUCCCGUGGAACACAGUAAAUGGCUGCGAUUAGGAAUAGGACAGUACAUGUCAGAACCUGAGCGCGAUCUGUUCCUACGGGGCCACAGGUAAGAAACAGGUGAGGGCUCUUCGGGGGCGGGAGUUCCAGCAACCGGAACCCAGCCCCUCCUCCCUACCGGCUCGGCUCAGAGGCGUGGCCACUGAAGGGGGCGGGCAUCUAGGCCAAGGGGGUGGAGUUGGGGCCAGAAAAGAUGCCAAUGCGACGCGAGCUUUCCCGCGUUUAACCAAUUGAAUGCGCUCAGGGCCGCCCCCAUUCUCUGAUUGGCACAACGCGUCUGCCUGUGUUCUCGCGGUUUGUGGGAGCCUCUCCGCGGUCUCGCGAGGAUGCGGGUCUUCGCCGGUGCUUGGUGAGGCGGGCGGGUUCCUCCGACGGCUGGUGGCGCCCGACGGGUGCGGUCCGCCUUGGAGCCGCUGUGCCGGAGGCGGAGCACGGGCUAAUUUACGGAGAGUUCGAGUGGAGCCACACUUAGAUUUUGAACUUCGUUUUCAAUGCAGACCCUUAAAAGCAGCCCUGCUCACCUCCUAAAAAG